UGCUGUUCAUAGUUUCAACUCUGUUUUUACUUUAUUUUGUCAGAUGCCAAGGGAGCGAAUCAAGAAGAAAAUAUAAAAAUCAGGACAUCGAAACACAGAGUAGAGACCUGCUUCUUCAUCUAAACCCAAACCUGCUGACCUCUGUUGUAUACGGCUAAGAAACGAACAAAAUAAACAGAAUUACACAUACAAACACACGGUUUUUAAAAUACAUAAUAAAUACAUGUAUAAUACAUGUAUAAAUACUUGGAAAAUGUACAUAGGGUGUAUUAAUAGUUCAACA